ACCUGACUGCUAUCGGAUUGGUACUAAGCCAUGUGAGUCAUUGUAGCAAUACAAGGCAUACGGCUCAGUAACACGUAGUCAAUCUGCCCUAUGGACGUGGAUAACCUCGGGAAACUGAGAAUAAUCCGCGAUAGAUCAUAAUGCCUGGAACGGUUUAUGGUCCAAAUGAUUCGUCGCCAUAGGAUGGGACUGCGGCCUAUCAGCUUGUUGGUGAGGUAAUGGCCCACCAAGGCUAUUACAGGUACGGGCUCUGAGAGGAGAAGCCCGGAGAUGGGUACUGAGACACGGACCCAGGCCCUAUGGGGCGCAGCAGGCGAGAAACCUUUGCAAUGUGCGCAAGCACGACAAGGUUAAUCCGAGUGUUUCCUGCUAAAGGAAUCUUUUGUUAGUUCUAAAACCACUGAUGAAUAAGGGGUGGGCAAGUUCUGGUGUCAGCCGCCGCGGUAAAACCAGCACCUCAAGUGGUCAGGAGGAUUAUUGGGCCUAAAGCAUCCGUAGCCGGUUCUGUAAGUUUCCGGUUAAAUCCACUAGCUCAACUAAUGGGCUGCCGGAAAUACUGCAGAACUAGGGAGUGGGAGAGGUAGACGGUACUCGGGAGGAAGGGGUAAAAUCCUUUGAUCUCUUGAUGACCACCUGUGGCGAAGGCGGUCUACCAGAACACGUUCGACGGUGAGGGAUGAAAGCUGGGGAGCAAACCGGAUUAGAUACCCGGGUAGUCCCAGCUGUAAACUAUGCAAACUCAGUGAUGCAUUGGCUUAUGGCCAAUGCAGUGCUGCAGGGAAGCCGUUAAGUUUGCCGCCUGGGAAGUACGUACGCAAGUAUGAAACUUAAAGGAAUUGGCGGGGGAGCACCACAAGGGUGAAGCCUGCGGUUCAAUUGGAGUCAACGCCGGAAA
rnacentral:rRNA from 1 species